rnacentral:rRNA from 1 species
UCGACGAUGAAUCUUCUAGCUUGCUAGAAGUGGAUUAGUGGCGCACGGGUGAGUAAUGCAUAGGUUAUGUGCCCUUUAGUCUGGGAUAGCCACUGGAAACGGUGAUUAAUACUGGAUACUCCCUACGGGGGAAAGUUUUUCGCUAAAGGAUCAGCCUAUGUCCUAUCAGCUUGUUGGUGAGGUAAUGGCUCACCAAGGCUAUGACGGGUAUCCGGCCUGAGAGGGUGAUCGGACACACUGGAACUGAGACACGGUCCAGACUCCUACGGGAGGCAGCAGUAGGGAAUAUUGCUCAAUGGGGGAAACCCUGAAGCAGCAACGCCGCGUGGAGGAUGAAGGUUUUAGGAUUGUAAACUCCUUUUGUUAGAGAAGAUUAUGACGGUAUCUAACGAAUAAGCACCGGCUAACUCCGUGCCAGCAGCCGCGGUAAUACGGAGGGCGCAAGCGUUACUCGGAAUCACUGGGCGUAAAGAGUGCGUAGGCGGGGUAAUAAGUCAGAUGUGAAAUCCUGUAGCUUAACUACAGAACUGCAUUUGAAACUGUUACUCUGGAGUGUGGGAGAGGUAGGUGGAAUUCUUGGUGUAGGGGUAAAAUCCGUAGAGAUCAAGAGGAAUACUCAUUGCGAAGGCGACCUGCUGGAACAUUACUGACGCUGAUGCACGAAAGCGUGGGGAGCAAACAGGAUUAGAUACCCUGGUAGUCCACGCCCUAAACGAUGGAUGCUAGUUGUUGCCUUGCUUGUCAGGGCAGUAAUGCAGCUAACGCAUUAAGCAUCCCGCCUGGGGAGUACGGUCGCAAGAUUAAAACUCAAAGGAAUAGACGGGGACCCGCACAAGCGGUGGAGCAUGUGGUUUAAUUCGAAGAUACGCGAAGAACCUUACCUAGGCUUGAC